rnacentral:rRNA from 1 species
ACGGAAGGCAGCAGUGGGGAAUAUUGGACAAUGGGGGAAACCCUGAUCCAGCGACGCCGCGUGAGUGAAGAAGUAUUUCGGUAUGUAAAGCUCUAUCAGCAGGGAAGAAAAUGACGGUACCUGACUAAGAAGCCCCGGCUAACUACGUGCCAGCAGCCGCGGUAAUACGUAGGGGGCAAGCGUUAUCCGGAUUUACUGGGUGUAAAGGGAGCGUAGACGGCGAUGCAAGUCUGAAGUGAAAGGCGGGGGCUCAACCCUUGGACUGCUUUGGAAACUGUAUUGCUAGAGUGCAGGAGAGGUAAGUGGAAUUCCUAGUGUAGCGGUGAAAUGCUUAGAUAUUAGGAGGAACACCAGUGGCGAAGGCGGCUUACUGGACUGUAACUGACGUUGAGGCUCGAAAGCGUGGGGAGCAAACAGGAUUAGAUACCCUGGUA